GCUCUGUUCUCUACACUUGGCUACAGACAACUUUUAUUAAGCUCGUAAGUGGGUUCAUGGGUCUACGCUGAUCCAAUCAGAUGGAUAAGAAAGCAAGCAUGAGGAAUGACAGCUUCAACAUCCCAAACAGGGUUUCAAUGCCAGCUGUGACCUGGAGGGAAGGGGGACUUAGGAAUGUGGGUUGUUAGACGUGGACUCUGAAAAUGGCCAUCUCCUUCAGAAACAGGAGCGCGUUUCCACUGCAGCAUCUCCAGGGUUUCUUGUCUCCUCGGUCACCGCCAAGUGCAUGUUGCUCAUCAAGGGAUUCCAUCUUAACCGACAACUCAAUCGGCCCAAAUUACAUGAUGUAUGCAAAUUUCCAUCAGCAAAUCAGCGCGGCUGAUCAUCACUCUCAUCAGGGGGCUGCCCUGGUCUCAGGCUCCUGGGGCCCACCCUCUGUUCACCCUCUGCUGACCAAGGGAGGGGCCCCCUGGGGACCAGGAAGUAGCAGGGAGGGCUGGGCAUUGCCUACCACAGAGUAGAACUGCACCCAGGCAGAGGCUGGGGGAUGAGCCAGGCUCUAAAUGCAAGUUGGGUUCCCACCACCAAUUUCCAACGAGAGCAAACUGAGAAAGGAGCUACCAGCCUCUAACUUUAAGCCCAGGGUCUGGUGACACCUCACAAUGGCACUGUCUAUCAGGGAGGCAGUCCCGUACAGCAGAUAAGAGCUCGGACUCUGGAGCCAGACUGCCUGCGUUCAAAUCCCAGGGCUGCCACUCAUCUGCUGUGUGACCUUGGGCAAUUUGCCUAACCUCUCUCAGCCUCACUUUUCUGUGAAAUGAAGAUAAAACGGCAUCCUCCAUAAGGUUAGUCAUGAGGCACUAUGCAGGCAUUUGCUGUCAUCGUCACCAUUUUCAUCGCUAUAUCACCACCCUUUGCUGCACAGCAAAGGUGUGCAGCACUACACAAAGGUGUAGCAAAGCACUACAGUCCUCAUACUUGUUAAAUGUUAGAGUGAAUCCUCUAAACUCAACAGGGUGUAACCUGGAAAUGACCUUGGUUUUCCUCCCCACCAGGACUGGGAGCAGGGUAAGGCAAGGGAGGCACUGGCCUUGGGAGCAAAAUUUAAGGUACCAAAAAUCCCAGUAAUCAAAAUAAAUCCUAUUUUAAUGCCAUAUUUUUAAAAAAUCACAAAUAAUGCAAAAAAAUGCAUGAUGUAAAAAAUAUCAACGUUUAAACCCACUUGGUGACCAUGGUUCUUUCCCUAAGCUAAACGAAAUCUCAACGGGUCAGUCCCAUGACUUUGUCCUAUUACUCUUAGGUAAUAAAAAGUCAUCUGUUCACUUGAGUAACCAAAAAGGGUCUGCUUCACUAAUUAGAAUGUCCAGUCCAGUGACGAGCACACUCUCAUCCCAUUCCGAGCCUGUCCUUGCCACCAGCUGAGGCUGAAAUGCUGCUGGCCCUGAGGGGGAGGACACCUAGCUUCCUUCUCCUUGACCCCUGUCCUCCUCCUUGGACGCAUGACCUUGGAUUCUGACCCCCAGGGCUGAGGCCUGGAGGGAGACGGCAUUCAAGGACAGGAUGUCCUGCGUCCUGCAGCAGGGUAACUGGGCCUGGCGUUGUCC
rnacentral:lncRNA from 1 species